rnacentral:rRNA from 1 species
UACCGAGGGUGCAAGCGUUGUUCGGCAUUAUUGGGCGUAAAGCGCGUGUAGGCGGCUUUGCACGUCGGGUGUGAAAGCCCUCAGCUUAACUGAGGAAGUGCGCCCGAAACUGCAGAGCUUGAAUACCGGAGAGGAUGGCGGAAUUCCCCAAGUAGAGGUGAAAUUCGUAGAUAUGGGGAGGAACACCGGUGGCGAAGGCGGCCAUCUGGACGGCUAUUGACGCUGAGACGCGAAAGCGUGGGGAGCAAACAGG